UGUGAUGUAGCUCAGCGGUAGAGCGCCGUCUUGAUAAGGCGGUGGUCGUUGGUUCGAUUCCAUCCAUCACAACCA
rnacentral:tRNA from 1 species